UGGGGAAUAUUGGACAAUGGGCGCAAGCCUGAUCCAGCCAUGCCGCGUGAGUGAUGAAGGCCCUAGGGUUGUAAAGCCCUUUCGGCGGGGAAGAUAAUGACGGUACCCGCAGAAGAAGCACCGGCUAACUCUGUGCCAGCAGCCGCGGUAAUACAGAGGGUGCAAGCGUUAAUCGGAAUUACUGGGCGUAAAGCGUGCGUAGACGGUUAUGUAAGUCGGGUGUGAAAGCCCCGGGCUCAACCUGGGAAUUGCAUUCGAAACUGCAUAGCUAGGGUGCGGAAGAGGGAAGCGGAAUUUCAGGUGUAGCGGUGAAAUGCGUAGAUAUCUGAAGGAACACCAGUGGCGAAAGCGGCUUCCUGGUCCAGCACCGACGUUCAGGCACGAAAGCGUGGGGAGCAAACAGGAUUAGAUACCCUGGUAGUCCACGCCAUAAACGAUGAGAACUAGACGUUGAGAGGGUAAGCCUCCCAGUGUCGUAGCUAACGCGCUAGGUUCUCCGCCUGGGGAGUACGGCCGCAAGGUUG
rnacentral:rRNA from 1 species